UAUUACCGCGGCUGCUGGCACGUAGUUAGCCGACACUUAUUUCUGGCUUACCGUCCUUCCUCUUCAGCCAGAAAAGCCCUUUACAACCCGAAGGCCUUCUUCGGGCACGCGGCGUUGCUGCGUCAGGCUUUCGCCCAUUGCGCAAUAUUCCUCACUGCUGCCUCCCGUAGGAAUCUC
rnacentral:rRNA from 1 species